GGUGCAGCAGCCGCGGUAACACCGGCAGCUCUAGUGGUAGCUGUUUUAUUGGGCCUAAAGCGUUCGUAGCCGGUUUAAUAAGUCUCUGGUGAAAUCCUAUAGCUUAACUGUGGGAAUUGCUGGAGAUACUAUUAGACUUGAGAUCGGGAGAGGUCAGAGGUACUCCUGGGGUAGGGGUGAAAUCCUGGUAAUCCUAGGAGGACCACCUGUGGCGAAGGCGUCUGACUAGAACGAAUCUGACGGUGAGGAACGAAAGCUAGGGGCGCGAACCGGAUUAGAUACCCGGGUAGUCCUAGCCGUAAACUAUGCGGACUUGGUGUGAGGGUGGCUUUGAGCCGUCCUGGUGCCGAAGGGAAGCUGUUAAGUCCGCCGCCUGGGAAGUACGGUCGCAAGACUGAAACUUAAAGGAAUUGGCGGGGAGCACCACAACGCGUGGAGCCUGCGGUUUAAUUGGAUUCAACGCCGGAGAUCUCACCAGCGGCGACAGCAGUAUGAUGACCAGGUUGAUGACUUUGUUUGACAAGCUGAGAAGAGGUGCAUGG
rnacentral:rRNA from 1 species